GAGAGAAACACCCACCGGGCUGGCUCGGCCGCUCCCGGGAGAGGGGGGCCGCAGCGCCCCCUGGUGGCCGGAGCCCCGCGGCGGAGAGCCGCCCCCAGCCCCGGAGGGAGGAGCUGGGACCCCGGGGCCGCGGACCAGGGGUCCACCGCAAGCUGCUCACUAGGACCUGGGGAACUCAGGGGCAGCAUUACAACCAAUGGCCACCCAGUGGAUAUAGGAGCCUACAGGUCUCCACACUGUUUUGAGACAACUUGAAGAGCCAUCUCAGCUCCAGAGUUCUUCCAGGAAUAGAUUUCCUGCCCAAUGUGGGACUUGAACUCACAAAGCCGAGAUCAAGAGUCACAUGCUCAACCAACUGAGCCAGCCAGGCUCUCCACCCCACACUUUGUUUAGGACAACCAGAAAGUUAAGCUGGCAGUCGGGUGAAAGAUGGACCGCACCGGGGCAUUCCAGACUCGAAUGUGAGGCCAACGCUGUUUCAGUAAGUCUGAGAUUCCA